GCCUGGGUGGAAUAAAGAGCGGAAGAAGAAGGAAAUCUCACUUCUGCUUCUGCCGAGGAGCUCUGGUCUUCGCCUACACCGCUGGGUUUCUGUCUCCAGCGCUGACUUCCAACACAGACGCGCACGGUCUCUGCAGUGGGCUCCAGGCCUCUGACUUUCAACUGGGUCCUCUGGUUCCCAGUGCACAGACCGCCACUUUGCCUUCUUCCACACGGGACUCUGCGGGUGGCCAUGGCCAGUGUUGCUCCUGGGCUGUUUCCCUGUGUCCCCGAGGAUGUCUGCACUGUUCCUGUCCUGUUUGCUGGGAUGCCGGCUGAAGGCCUCUCCCAUUCUGCCUAGAAGGAAAGCUAAGGAGACAGAAGUUUUAAAGAGCUGCAAGUACGUCCACUUAAAUCUGAAACGUCCCCCAAAGUCUCAUGCGUUCCAAGGUCGGCCUUCGGAAGGUGACUAGAUCAUGGGGCGCAGUCGCCUUCACUGGAUGAGUUCACUGGAGAAUUCACGGCCUCAUGUGUGAGCAGCUCUCCUCCACCAGGAACUUUCACCUUGGAGCCAGCUGAUUUCGGACUAAAUCCUCUGAAACCAUGAGCUUCUCUUCCUCGAAGUUGAGGGUGCUGACUUUUGUGUCCCAGAGAUGGAACCUGACCAAUACAGAAAAUCGGUACCAGAAAUAGGGUUGCUGUUGGGACUUGCCUGAUCUUGAGGUACAGAAGCCUUUGAAACUGGUUUGCAAGAGGAAUUUGGAAGGCUUUGGAGAUACUGGCUAGAGAAACCCUGGCAUGCAAUAAUCAGAUCUGGCCAGUGCCGAGGAGACCAGGAUGCUUCUAGAAUAAAAGGAGUAAGGCUCAGGAGCUUUCAGUUGGGCUCUCCUCUGGGUGAGGCUUCCUGGCACGAGGAGCAAGUAGAUCAAGCCACUACGUCGCCCCCCCCGCUGGUGCGGCUCUUGUUCUUCUUUUGGAUGCUGCAGGUCUGUGAGCCCUGGGGAGAUGGAUCCCCAUUUCCUCCUGCCUAUCUGUCACCCUCCGCAUUGUGGCGAUUGUCCCAUUUCUCUCUGAGAAGGUUCUCAUUCUCCUGAUUAAAUCCAUCGGGCAUUC
rnacentral:lncRNA from 1 species